CGCGAGAGUAGGCUAGGCCGCAGUUCGUCUGUAUUGCGGUGAGUGCAACUGUUCGAGCGGCGCCUUCUCGCCAAUUCAUUCAACUCCAGCAACCCAUAAAACAGAGGACAGGAGGCGGUCUGCGCUUUUACAUUGAACGGAGGACGACCACCUCUUUCUACGGCUCUGCAAGCUUCCCUUUUAAAUUGCGACACAUACUAUGCAGUCUUUGAGUGUCCCCCGAAGAUGGAGAGGGAACGUUUGUAAUGGCUUGAUCAGAGGAAGUCGGUCAGGGAGAUGGUUGAUGAAGACUAAAACAUUUUCCAGUACAUAAAUGGAAUAACAAUAUGUCAUCUAUUUUUAAAUACACCCUAGUCUUUUCACAGAAUCUUCCGUUUGGAUAUUGGUUAUGCUACAAAUAGGCUGUGGACGUGUUAGCUAAGUUGAGAUCCUCUCAAGCGCUGCCAGGUUGGAUGGGGAGCGUUGCGGCACAGCUAUUCUCAGGUCUCUCCAGAGACGUUCGAUCGGGUUCAAGUCCAGGCUCUGGCUGGCCCACUCAAGGAUAAUUUGCAAAUAAAUUCAUAAA
ensembl:lncRNA